rnacentral:rRNA from 1 species
GAUGAACGCUGGCGGCGUGCCUAAUACAUGCAAGUCGAGCGAACAGACGAGGAGCUUGCUCCUCUGACGUUAGCGGCGGACGGGUGAGUAACACGUGGAUAACCUACCUAUAAGACUGGGAUAACUUCGGGAAACCGGAGCUAAUACCGGAUAAUAUAUUGAACCGCAUGGUUUAAUAGUGAAAGACGGAUUUGCUGUCACUUAUAGAUGGAUCCGCGCCGCAUUAGCUAGUUGGUAAGGUAACGGCUUACCAAGGCAACGAUGCGUAGCCGACCUGAGAGGGUGAUCGGCCACACUGGAACUGGGACACGGUCCAGACUCCUACGGGAGGCAGCAGAAGGGAAUCUUCCGCAAUGGGCGAAAGCCUGACGGAGCAACGCCGCGUGAGUGAUGAAGGUCUUCGGAUCGUAAAACUCUGUUAUUAGGGAAGAACAAAUGUGUAAGUAACUAUGCACGUCUUGACGGUACCUAAUCAGAAAGCCACGGCUAACUACGUG